rnacentral:rRNA from 1 species
CAUGACCCCAGAUCAGACGGGACCACCCGCUGAGUUUAAGCAUAUCAAUAAGGGGGGGGGAAAAAAGA